rnacentral:lncRNA from 1 species
CCCGCGUUGACAAGUCUAUUAAGAUUUGGGUAAAUGCAAGUACACUAUUCAAGACAUCAAUGCCCUUUAUGACUGGGUUUCUUAUGUCCGAUUUUCCCCCAAUACGCACCAGCCAACUAUAGUUUUUUGGGUCAUGAGAUAAGACAGCGAUAACCUGGAAUUUAAGUCGUGGGAAAGAUAGGCUGUGCUACCACUGAAGCCAACAUUAGGAUUUGGAACUUGGGGUUUGUUGGAAUGUGAAGAAGACUAUAUUUUUUUUAUAUGAAAAAUGGAAGAAUUGAUUCCACUCUGAAGAUUGAAGAGAGAAUCGAGAGGGAAUAAUUAGGGAGGAAAUGUUGGCGGAAACAGUGGCAAAG